rnacentral:rRNA from 1 species
CCUACGGGAGGCAGCAGUGGGGAAUAUUGGGCAAUGGGCGCAAGCCUGACCCAGCAACGCCGCGUGAAGGAAGAAGGCUCUCGGGUUGUAAACUUCUUUUGACAGGGAAGAGUAGAAGACGGUACCUGUCGAAUAAGCCACGGCUAACUACGUGCGAGCACCCGCGGGAAUACGUAGGGGGCAAGGGUUGUCCGGAUUUAUGGGGUGUAAAGGGCGUGUAGCCGGGUUGACAAGUCAGUUGUGAAAGCCUGCGGCUUAACCGCAGAACUGCAUUUGAAACUGUUGAUCUUGAGUACUGGAGAGGCAGACGGAAUUCCUAGUGUAGCGGUGAAAUGCGUAGAUAUUAGGAGGAACACCAGUGGCGAAGGCGGUCUGCUGGACAGCAACUGACGGUGAGGCGCGAAAGCGUGGGGAGCAAACAGGAUUAGAUACCCUGGUAGUC